rnacentral:rRNA from 1 species
CCUCCAGACUCCUACGGGAGGCAGCAGUGGGGAAUAUUGGACAAUGGGGGGAACCCUGAUCCAGCGACGCCGCGUGAGUGAAGAAGUAUUUCGGUAUGUAAAGCUCUAUCAGCAGGGAAGAAGAUGACGGUACCUGAUUAAGAAGCCCCGACUAACUACGUGCCAGCAGCCGCGGUAAUACGUAGGGGGCAAGCGUUAUCCGGAUUUACUGGGUGUAAAGGGAGCGUAGACGGCAUAGCAAGUCUGAAGUGAAAGCCCGGGGCUCAACCCCGGGACUGCAUUUGGAACUGUGCUGCUAGAGUGUCGGAGAGGCAGGCGGAAUUCCUAGUGUAGCGGUGAAAUGCGUAGAUAUUAGGAGGAACACCAGUGGCGAAGGCGGCCUGCUGGACGAUGACUGACGUUGAGGCUCGAAAGCGUGGGGAGCAAACAGGAUUAGAUACCCGAGUACU